rnacentral:pre_miRNA from 1 species
CACCUGGGGGAGCUGCUUAAAAUGAAAGGAUUCCGACCCAAUAGGUGGGCCUGAGAUUCUGCAUUGCUAACAAGCUCCCAGGUGU